rnacentral:rRNA from 1 species
GAAAGUUGAAAAGAACUUUGAAGAGAGAGUUCAAUAGUACGUGAAACCGUUUAGAGGUAAACGGAUGGGACCGCAUUGUCUCCCCUCGGAAUUCAACCCUCCAGUCGUCGUUCGGCGGCGCGUCGCGAUCCUCCGGGGCGCGCACGUCGUCGAGUCGUCGUCGGUGGGCGCACUUUCCUUGGGACUAACGCCAGGACCGGUUCGUGCGGUGGCCAGAAGCCGCCGGGGGCAAGGUAGCCGUCCGCUGGGGGACGGCGCUUAGGCCCCUGCGGUGGGCUGCACCCGCGGACCGAGGAACACCCGCCGUAGCACGGGCCCCUCUCCCUCUCGGUCGUGUCGACUUGCGUGGACUGUUUGCAGUGCUCGCAGACCGCCGGCGGUGCAGUGGCGGGGAUCGCCGGUGUCGACACCCAGGGUCUCUGGCUAAUCGGUCGGCACCCCAUCCGACCCGUCUUGAAACACGGACCAAGGAGUCUAACAUGUGCGCGAGUCACUGGGCGGCAAACCCACAGGCGCAAUGAAAGUGAAGUUCGGCCUCGGUCGGACCAGGUAGGAUCCCCUUCCCUAGGUCGGGGCGCACUACCAGCCCGUCUUAAUCUCUAGUAGGUGAGGCGGAGCAAGAGCGUACACGUUGGGACCCGAAAGAUUGGUGAAC